rnacentral:pre_miRNA from 1 species
GUAAUACUCUCUUUGUCCGGAAUUACUUGUUGCAGAAAUGGAUAUAUGAUGUACUUAGUUCUAGAUACAUACAUUUAUAUCUAUCUUCACGACAAGUAAUUUGGGACGGAGGGAGUAUAAU